UUUUUUCCCACAACUUCAGGGUGCCAUUGAGCUGCUAGAUGCUUCCAUCGGUUUCUUCUUUCUUCUACUGCGUGUUUACUCCGGAGAGUGAUAGAACAAUUGCACCCACCAAGAGGAAGAAAGAAGAAGAGGGAAAUUCACAUCACGAGACUGAACAGAGAGAGAAGAGGGGGACGGGAAGAAGAAGAAGAAGAGGAAUCUGGGUCUUGAUCUGAAGCACCUGGCUUUUUUGGAUAUCACUUUUCUUUUUCUUGGCUAAUCUUGAUCUACAGAGUGUGAGCUGUUCAGAUUUGCUGUCUAUCAAUCUGUGAACCAGAGUUUCAAAUUGGAUUGAGAUUUGCAGAAGCCUUACAAUUUCAUGAAUCAUUGUUGGGCUUGAACCAGUAUUUCAAUGUGCUAAUGUCAUUAACUCCUUCUUGAAUGUUUUAUGAUAUUGCUUGCAUUGAAUCAAAUAAGUUGUUCAGACUCGAAAGUUGCAUAUACUCGAGAACUUGGGAAAACCUGUUUUUUAAACUCCUAGACGCAGAAGUUUGACAGUUUAAGGAUUCUGCUCCAAGUUGUAUUAGCUCCAAAACCGCAGCAAAGCGCGGGCACAAUUUCUAGUUCUACAUAUACUAAAUGUGGUCGCCCUGUUCAUCACUGUUCAUAGGACAGUGGAGUGACGGUUUUACCCUCCAUUUUUCUGCUGUCGUUCUAAAAGAGAGAGAGAGAGAGAGAGAGAGAGAGCGUGUGCUUUGCAAGAAGAGAUAGACAGAUCGGUUGUUGCUGUGAUUGACAGUUGUGUCGGAGCCAGGCUCUUCGAUCUAAUCUUGGCCAAAUAAAGGAGGCACUUCGAAGUUAGAGUGAAAGAUCAGUUGAUUAAUUGAGUUAAGAAGAAAGGGGCCUAGGUUCUGGACUGUAUUGUGCUCACUGAGUUUGCAAAAUCUCCUACUCCUUGCUGCAGAGUUGGAAAAGGCGUGUUUGUCCUCACUGUUCAAGGAGAAUAUCAAGCUGGUGGAAAAGUCGAUUUCGUCCUUGCUUUUGUUAGUGUUGGAUAGGUAUCACGAUCGGGAUUUGAGUGGUUUACAUCAACAUCAGAAAGAGCGAAAGAGAGAGGAAAGAAGAGAGGAAAGGAGAAGAUCUCGGUGACAAUAGACCGGUUGCAAGCUGUGAAACUCUGAUUGUAUUGCUAAUCUCAGAAUACAUAGUUGUACUGAAAACAAAUAGAACAGAUUCUAUGGGUUCUGCAGUUUCAGAUCCGGGUAACUCACUGCAAGAACUUCAAGGUUUAAAACAGAAUAGCAACUAAAGUGUCAAAGCUGCAGAGUUUCAAAUAAAAGGUUUAAAACAAAACAUCAGUAACUAAGUGUCAAAGCUCUAGAGUUUAAAAUCAAGGGUUGAAGUGAAGACAAUAUCUCUAUUUCAUACAGCUCCCACACUCUCAUGGGUAGGGGGUCUACUUAUGGAUGUCAAAAUUCCGCAACGUUUGUCCGCGCAUGGUGCCGCUCCUCUUCGGGAAGUUUGCUUGUGCAAAGCGUUGACCGCUCCGUUAGGUGCCUUAUUCACGGCGGAUCGACCUAAUUUCUUUACACAAUACCUAUCACUAUUGUAUAAACAUAUAAGAAUUUUCCGAUUGAUCGAUUUUCAUUUCAAAAUUUUUGGAUCGCACAUAAUUCUUAUGUCUUGUAAUGUAGUAUAACUAGUUUAUAUAGGCUUGUUACCCUCCAUGAGAAAAAUGGGGGAUGAAAUGGAAUUUUUUAAAAUGAACCGUUGGAUGUUGUUUGCAUAUGAAUAUAUGUUAGUGGUAGAAAUUUCAACAAUUUCCGCAUUC